GUGAGGAAUAUUGCGCAAUGCUCGAAAGAGUGACGCAGCGACGCCGCGUGAACGAUGAAGUUCUUCGGAAUGUAAAGUUCUGUCAGAUGGGAAUAAGGCCCGCAAGGGUUUGACUGUACCAUCAGAGGAAGCACCGGCUAAUCCCGUGCCAGCAGCCGCGGUAAUACGGGAGGUGCAAGCGUUAUUCGGAUUUACUAGGCGUAAAGGGUGCGUAGGUGGCCGAUUAAGUCGGAUGUGAAAUCUUUGGGCUCAACUCAAAAACUGCAUUUGAUACUGAACGGCUUGAGUAUAGGAGAGGAGAAUAGAAUUCCUGGUGGAGCGGUGAAAUGUGUAGAUAUCAGGAAGAAUAUCUGUGGCGAAGGCGAUUCUCUGGCCUAUUACUGACACUGAAGCACGAGAGCGUGGGGAGCAAACAGGAUUAGAAACCCCGGUAGUCC
rnacentral:rRNA from 1 species